CUCUACCUGUAUUCCUUUGCCAAAAAUCUAACCAAGCAUAAUAAUCUCCACAAACAAGGAGCAACCACCGACUAACCAAAACAACAAUUUUAAAUCUGAUCAUGAAUAGAUAAAACAAUAAGAACAAUGAUACCCGAUCAUAAUAAGCUCAUGCCAGAAACAUAGGACUCCUACCCAGAAUCCGGCAUGCCAAUUCGAGAUCUAAUUUAGGAAACAUCAGAUCUGGAUGGAACCAUCAUCCAAAGCCAAAAGAAUCCCAUCAUCAAGAAUACAAACCAUGUAGGAGCCUUCCAAAUCGGAGCCGACCGCCAUCAAAAAUCCUCCAAAAGAGAUCAAAUCAUCAUACUUGAACACCAGAAAUCCCCCAACUAGGCUAAGCAAAGAAAAAACCACGACCAUCAAACCCUCGGACUCAGCAACAGAUCGGUUGGAAAGGAGCUGUUCGAAAGUUCUUUUCUUGGCUGCG
rnacentral:lncRNA from 1 species